UUGAACGCUGGCGGAAUGCUUUACACAUGCAAGUCGAGCGGCAGCGCGGGGGCAACCCUGGCGGCGAGCGGCGAACGGGUGAGUAACAUAUCGGAACGUACCCAUUGGUGGGGGAUAACACAUCGAAAGAUGUGCUAAUACCGCAUACGACCUGAGGGUGAAAGGGGGGGAUCGCAAGACCUCUCGCCGUUGGAGCGGCCGAUAUCGGAUUAGCUAGUUGGUGAGGUAAAGGCUCACCAAGGCGACGAUCCGUAGCUGGUCUGAGAGGACGACCAGCCACACUGGAACUGAGACACGGUCCAGACUCCUACGGGAGGCAGCAGUGGGGAAUUUUGGACAAUGGGCGGAAGCCUGAUCCAGCCAUUCCGCGUGAGUGAAGAAGGCCUUCGGGUUGUAAAGCUCUUUCAGCCGGAAAGAAAUCGCGCAGGCUAAUACUCUGCGUGGAUGACGGUACCGGAAGAAGAAGCACCGGCUAACUACGU
rnacentral:rRNA from 1 species